rnacentral:tRNA from 1 species
CCCCUGGUGGUCCAGUGGUUAAGACUCUGUGCUUCCACUGCAGGGGGCACAGGUUCAAUUCCUGGUCGGAGAA